AUCCGCCGGUGGCGCGGAGGUACCCGGCGUUUAUCCGGCUCCCCGGUUAGGGGCGGGGAGGGAGGAGGCGACAGGAUCCAAUUACGGCUGCUCCCGCCGGGUCGCCCGGAGGUGCUGGCGGGAUAGGGGGCACAGAGCCUCGGGCAGGCCGGCCUGGGACGCUCGGGCCGCAGCUCCCGCCGGGCCUCAGCUGCCUCAUUGUUUAUUGUGGAGCCGCCGCUCCCCUUCCCGUCCCCUCCCUCGCGCCCGCCCGCUCCCGUCCUCCCUCCUACUAGAAGAAAGAAGAGCCAGUCUGUGGAGGCGAAUGAGUCAUGAAUAAACAAACAGCGUAGGGGGGAGCUGUCACUCCGAGCUGACUUCCUGGCUGCGCUCGGCUAGGCGACCUCCUGGCGGGGCCCAGAAGUCAGCCAAGCUGCGGCUGCGCAAGACGCAUCACACCGCCCGGAUUUGUCUCCAUUCCAUGCCCAGCCCCGGCCAUCUCCAUUUUACAAGCUGGAAAACUGAGGUCAGAAGGGGCAAGGGCAUUGCCUUGGAUCGAAAAGCAAGGAAGUGACAAGGCCGGUAACAACAGAGAGGAAACCAGGAUGUUCUGACCAGUGUUGGGCUCCCCUUGAAGGUGACAUCUGCCCCUCUGAAGAGUGUGAUUUAAGCAUCUCCUCCACUCAGCUCUCCCAUUUUACAGAUAGGAAAACUGAUUGGGCCUCAGUUUCACAUCAGACACCACAGGGCCGAGACUGAUAAGCUCUGAGUCUGAGCUGUGGUUUCAGCCCACACAGCUGGGAAAUUCCAGGCUUGAAGCUGCUGCUGGGUGCACAGGGUUCAUUUAGAAUAUAAACGAAAAAUAAUGAGAAUUAAAAAAGAGCUUAGCAGACAGAGUUCCAUACAAAAGCCUGCGGGCCAUCCGUUCCCUGAGACUGCUCUUUAGGGCUGCCUGCCCUCCCAGGCCUUGCCUACUGCCGUGGAGCCUGUGGCCAGGCAGCCAGAGGCUCUGGCAGAGCCUCGCUCUGCACCCUUCCCCCAGUCCUGCUGACACAGGCAUCCUGGCCCCUUACCUCCCAGCCUCCCUGCUCGCUGGCAGGCUGUGGUAACAAGAUGCCCUUUGUGUGCGUUGGGGGAAGGGGGCAGUGGGCAGCUUCUGGGCUGCCGGUUGCUGCUGAGUCACAGCUCCUGCCAGCUCUGGGAACAGAGUUGCAGGUGACUGGCCAGGCGGCAAGGAGCCGAAGACCUUGGAGAUGACCUCAGACAACCCCUUCCUCAGACACUGGGGAAAGUGAGGCUGAGAAGGGGAUGUCUCAUGCUUUCCUCAGGCUUGCAGGGACUUAAACAUGUUCUUUGUUCCCCAGAAGAGCUACUCUGUCCAGGAACAUGUAUGUACAAGCUCACACAUGUGCAUGUGAACAAGUAAACACAUGUUCAUCAGUAUGUGA